GAUGAACGCUGGCGGCGUGCCUAAUACAUGCAAGUCGAGCGAACAGACGAUGAGCUUGCUCCUCUGACGUUAGCGGCGGACGUGUGAGUAACACGUGGAUAACCUACCUAUAAGACUGGGAUAACUUCGGGAAACCGGAGCUAAUACCGGAUAAUAUAUUGAACCUCAUUGUUCAAUAGUGAAAGACGGUUUUGCUGUCACGUAUAGAUGGAUCCGCGCCGCAUGAGCUAGUUGGUAAGGUAACGGCUUACCAAGGCAACGAUGCGUAGCCGACCUGAGAGGGUGAUCGGCCACCCUGGACCUGAGACACGGUCCAGCCUCCUACGGGAGGCAGAAGUAGGGAAUCUUCCGCAAUGGGCGAAAGCCUGCCGGAGCAACGCCGCGUGAGUGAUGAAGGUCUUCGGAUCGUAAAACUCUGUUAUUAGGGAAGAACAAAUGUGUAAGUAACUAUGCACGUCUUGACGGUACCUAAUCAGAAAGCCACGGCUAACUACGUG
rnacentral:rRNA from 1 species